UAGUUUUUGUUUGCGAUGGAGAAGGAUGCUUUGGCGCCUCGCGAGGCGCCGGCGAUGCAGCGGAAGAGGAUCGCAUUCGCGAGCUACAUGUACAUUCUUCUCUACAUUGUGAUUUCCAGCGGCCAGAUCUUCUUCAACAAGUGGCUGCUGUCUUCCAACCAUUUCAAUUUCCCAUUCCCGGUGUCUCUCACGCUCAUACACAUGGUGUUCUCAUCGGUGCUUUGCUUCGUUGUGAUCCAUGUCUUUAAGCUAGUGCCCCUGCCUCAAGGAAUGACUUUGGAAAUAUACGCUACCUCGGUUUUUCCCAUCGGAGCAAUGUUUGCGAUGACUUUGUGGCUCGGGAACUCGGCCUACCUUUAUAUCUCCGUGGCUUUUGCUCAGAUGCUGAAAGCCAUAAUGCCCGUUUCCGUUUUUCUCCUUGGAGCCGCAUUUGGUCUUGAAAGUCUUACUCUUCGCAUGAUGUUCAUCAUGUCGGUAAUAAGCUUCGGUGUGCUGGUUGCAUCUUACGGCGAGAUCAACUUCAACUGGAUUGGAGUGAUUUAUCAGCUUGGCGGGGUUGUUGGGGAGUCAAUGCGGCUCAUACUGAUCGAGAUCAUGCUGAAGAGGAAGGGAUUGAAGCUAGAUCCUCUGACGAUGAUGUACUACGUGAGUCCUUGCAGCGCGUUUUGCCUCUUCAUACCCUGGUUGUUGCUAGAGAAGCCGAAGAUGGACAGCUCAACGCACUGGAACUUUGAUGUCGUUGUUGUGUCUCUCAACGCCCUGUGCACCUUUGCGCUCAACAUCUCCGUGUUUCUGGUGAUAUCGUCUACGAGCGCGCUCACUAUCCGUGUGGCUGGCGUUGUGAGAGAUUGGAUAGUUGUGCUGGUCUCUGGACUAGUAUUCCUAGACACGACACUUACUCCCAUCAACAUCAUUGGCUAUGUUAUCGCUAUCUUUGGCGUUGUGAUGUACAACAAACACAAACUCAAACCAGUACAGGCAGCCUCGCAAGAGGAAUUACUUCCAGUGUUACAAGGAAAGUGAACACGACUAUAUUCAAGGCAAGGAAAACACAAACAACAACGCAAAAAGAGAGCGAAAGAAGAGUGAGAGGCAGUAGGGUGAAUGUGUUGCCGUUGUCAUGAAGAAUCCGAUCAUCGUUGUCGUCUUUUAGUAACUCGAAGGUACGGUGUCGGUGCUCAACUUGCUCGCGGAAACUACUGAAAUUGUGUGCUUGCAGGGACUUGCGCGUUGGUUGUCUUUUAGGAAAGCAUUUUUUAGCCGGAACUGCAAGCGAUUAAACUAAUAUCCUGAAGGGUAACGCGGUCGAGUUUAAUUUGCGCUUGCAGGUCGCCCGAAAAGCAAUCGAUAAAGUUAUCUGUUUUGUUGUAUAGUGCUUGUUUUUCUCUCGGCUUGCCUUUCGAAGGGCCGGACGCUGCAACCAGAUCAAAUGUGCACUUUGGUGGUCUGUAUCUAUAAGGAGGACACAAAGGAAACAACCACAGUCAAGGACAAUAGCGGCUCCAAACUCUCAAGAAAGCAUUGUACCGAGUGAGCGUGGAGUCCAGCUCUGUGCAAGCCACAACACCAAGAUAAGUCGAAAAAGGACGACGGAAGAAGGAAUGCUGUUACGAUGCUCAAGAGGGGGUGCUCUGCAAGCAAACUUUUGGAGAGAUUUCCUUAUAUUGGGAAGAUCCCGCUUGUUGGUCCCUGACACAAGAAUGUGGUGGACGGUCAAGCAGGAUCUAAGCAGUGAUCUUCUCGCAUUUUAGAGCGCUGCAGCACGCAGAGAUCUCUUAUGUGGACGGAGAGAAGCCACGGAGGUAUCCGGAGGUACAAAGUCGAGGCUUUGCUGGAAAUGGUCGAAGAUACGAAAGAAGUGCGCCAAAAGCCCAGAGUUUUCCGCUACCUCAGGCAAGUAACCGACAGGCAGCCUUUCUCUUUUGACGCUGGCGUCCCUUCCAUUUCGCAUUAAAGUCUGAGAGAUGCUUGUUGGCCGGGGUGAUUCCAGGAUUUUCUCAGCGCCUUAAGUUACUCCCUGGGGAUUGAAAUGGAUUGAGAGCAACUUGGCGACGAGAAAUCAAAUCAAACCAGCGACAGGGUCGGCAGGAACGCAGGGAUGUCUGAUCUGAUGGCCCUGGGCUGCUGCUCCAAAGGUACUUGGAGCUCGCUCCUCUCACUUUCACUUUCCCUCUCUCUCUCUUCUACACUGUUUCCCAGCUAGAAAACUCUCUCCUUUUCCGCCUUGCGUGCGUGGAAUCAGAGGAGAAAAGAGGAAUGGGGGCCCCGAGGAGGGACCGACGAGUCCCCGCCCUCCACAGUGGAAGAAAAAGAAAGGCAUUGUUUUUGGUGACAACGACACUAAUCACCAAGUACAAUAAUGAAAGGCAAUUCUUCCA